GAGUAAUGUCUGGGAAACUGCCUGAUGGAGGGGGAUAACUACUGGAAACGGUGGCUAAUACCGCAUAACGUCGCAAGACCAAAGAGGGGGACCUUCGGGCCUCUUGCCAUCAGAUGUGCCCAGAUGGGAUUAGCUUGUUGGUGAGGUAACGGCUCACCAAGGCGACGAUCCCUAGCUGGUCUGAGAGGAUGACCAGCCACACUGGAACUGAGACACGGUCCAGACUCCUACGGGAGGCAGCAGUGGGGAAUAUUGCACAAUGGGCGCAAGCCUGAUGCAGCCAUGCCGCGUGUAUGAAGAAGGCCUUCGGGUUGUAAAGUACUUUCAGCGGGGAGGAAGGGAGUAAGGUUAAUAACCUUAUUCAUUGACGUUACCCGCAGAAGAAGCACCGGCUAACUCCGUGCCAGCAGCCGCGGUAAUACGGAGGGUGCAAGCGUUAAUCGGAAUUACUGGGCGUAAAGCGCACGCAGGCGGUCUGUCAAGUCGGAUGUGAAAUCCCCGGGCUCAACCUGGGAACUGCAUUCGAAACUGGCAGGCUUGAGUCUUGUAGAGGGGGGUAGAAUUCCAGGUGUAGCGGUGAAAUGCGUAGAGAUCUGGAGGAAUACCGGUGGCGAAGGCGGCCCCCUGGACAAAGACUGACGCUCAGGUGCGAAAGCGUGGGGAGCAAACAGGAUUAGAUACCCUGGUAGUCCACGCCGUAAACGAUGUCUACUUGGAGGUUGUGCCCUUGAGGCGUGGCUUCCGGAGCUAACGCGUUAAGUAGACCGCCUGGGGAGUACGGCCGCAAGGUUAAAACUCAAAUGAAUUGACGGGGGCCCGCACAAGCGGUGGAGCAUGUGGUUUAAUUCGAUGCAACGCGAAGAACCUUACCUGGUCUUGACAUCCACAGAACUUUCCAGAGAUGGAUUGGUGCCUUCGGGAACUGUGAGACAGGUGCUGCAUGGCUGUCGUCAGCUCGUGUUGUGAAAUGUUGGGUUAAGUCCCGCAACGAGCGCAACCCUUAUCCUUUGUUGCCAGCGGUCCGGCCGGGAACUCAAAGGAGACUGCCAGUGAUAAACUGGAGGAAGGUGGGGAUGACGUCAAGUCAUCAUGGCCCUUACGACCAGGGCUACACACGUGCUACAAUGGCGCAUACAAAGAGAAGCGACCUCGCGAGAGCAAGCGGACCUCAUAAAGUGCGUCGUAGUCCGGAUUGGAGUCUGCAACUCGACUCCAUGAAGUCGGAAUCGCUAGUAAUCGUGGAUCAGAAUGCCACGGUGAAUACGUUCCCGGGCCUUGUACACACCGCCCGUCACACCAUGGGAGUGGGUUGCAAAAGAAGUAGGUAGCUUAACCUUCGGGAGGGCGCUUACCACUUUGUGAUUCAUGACUGGGGUGAAGUCGUAACAAGGUAACCGUAGGGGAACCUGCGGUUGGA
rnacentral:rRNA from 1 species